rnacentral:rRNA from 1 species
AACGCUGGCGGCGUGCCUAAUACAUGCAAGUAGAACGCUGAAGGAGGAGCUUGCUCUUCUGGAUGAGUUGCGAACGGGUGAGUAACGCGUAGGUAACUUGCCUGGUAGCGGGGGAUAACUAUUGGAAACGAUAGCUAAUACCGCAUAAUAUUGACUAUUGCAUGAUAGUCAAUUGAAAGGUGCAAAUGCACCACUACCAGAUGGACCUGCGUUGUAUUAGCUAGUUGGUGGGGUAACGGCUCACCAAGGCGACGAUACAUAGCCGACCUGAGAGGGUGAUCGGCCACACUGGGACUGAGACACGGCCCAGACUCCUACGGGAGGCAGCAGUAGGGAAUCUUCGGCAAUGGAACGGGAAGUCUGACCGGAGCAAACGCCGCGUGAAGUGAAAGAAAGGUUUUUCCGGGAAUCCGUAAAAGCUCUUUUUUAAAG